AGUUGGUGGAGUGAUUUGUCUGCUUAAUUGCGAUAACGAACGAGACCUUAACCUACUAAAUAGUGGUGCUAGCAUUUGCUGGUUAUCCACUUCUUAGAGGGACUAUCGGUUUCAAGCCGAUGGAAGUUUGAGGCAAUAACAGGU
rnacentral:rRNA from 1 species